UAGCGAAAUUCCUUGUCGGGUAAGUUCCGACCUGCACGAAUGGCGUAAUGAUGGCCAGGCUGUCUCCACCCGAGACUCAGUGAAAUUGAACUCGCUGUGAAGAUGCAGUGUACCCGCGGCAAGACGGAAAGACCCCGUGAACCUUUACUAUAGCUUGACACUGAACAUUGAGCCUUGAUGUGUAGGAUAGGUGGGAGGCUUUGAAGUGUGGACGCCAGUCUGCAUGGAGCCGACCUUGAAAUACCACCCUUUAAUGUUUGAUGUUCUAACGUGGGCCCGUAAUCCGGGUUGCGGACAGUGUCUGGUGGGUAGUUUGACUGGGGCGGUCUCCUCCUAAAGAGUAACGGAGGAGCACGAAGGUUGGCUAAUCCUGGUCGGACAUCAGGAGGUUAGUGCAAUGGCAUAAGCCAGCUUGACUGCGAGCGUGACGGCGCGAGCAGGUGCGAAAGCAGGUCAUAGUGAUCCGGUGGUUCUGAAUGGAAGGGCCAUCGCUCAACGGAUAAAAGGUACUCCGGGGAUAACAGGCUGAUACCGCCCAAGAGUUCAUAUCGACGGCGGUGUUUGGCACCUCGAUGUCGGCUCAUCACAUCCUGGGGCUGAAGUAGGUCCCAAGGGUAUGGCUGUUCGCCAUUUAAAGUGGUACGCGAGCUGGGUUUAGAACGUCGUGAGACAGUUCGGUCCCUAUCUGCCGUGGGCGCUGGAGAACUGAGGGGGGCUGCUCCUAGUACGAGAGGACCGGAGUGGACGCAUCACUGGUGUU
rnacentral:rRNA from 1 species